UGCCUACGGGAGGCAGCAGUGGGGAAUAUUGGGCAAUGGGCGCAAGCCUGACCCAGCAACGCCGCGUGAAGGAAGAAGGCUUUCGGGUUGUAAACUUCUUUUCUGAGGGACGAAGAAAGUGACGGUACCUCAGGAAUAAGCCACGGCUAACUACGUGCCAGCAGCCGCGGUAAUACGUAGGUGGCAAGCGUUAUCCGGAUUUACUGGGUGUAAAGGGAGCGCAGGCGGCGCGUUAAGCCUGGUGUGAAAGCCCGCGGCCCAACCGCGGGACUGCAUUGGGAACUGGCGCGCUGGAGUGCCGGAGG
rnacentral:rRNA from 1 species